GGUGCUGUAGUUCAGCUGGUCAAAGGGUCUGUCUGAUAAACAGAAGCUCCUGGGUUCACAUCCCAGCAGUACCU